rnacentral:snRNA from 12 species
AUACUUACCUGGCAGGGGAGACGCCAUGAUCAAGAAGGCAGUUCACCCAGGGCAAGGCUCGUCCAUUGCACUCUGGCCGUGCUGACCCCUGCGAAUUCCCCAAAUGUGGGAAUCUCGACACGUAAAAGC